CUUUGUUUUUCCCUGGCCCUCAGUCAAGUUUUGAGCUCUUUGUGAGAGGCCCUUCCUGUCUGUGCCGCCAUCCCUCACUCCCUUCCUUCUGUCCCGUCAGCCUUCCCUUUGUCCCUUGGCUUUCCUGCGUGCUCUUCCAGCCAGCCAGUCUGACCAAUUCCCCCAGUUUGCUCUCCUUUCCUUGGGAGGUAGAAAGAGACCAAAGUGAAAGUCACCCUGACCACACACAGAUGAACAGGACAGACGGGAGACUUGUCAAUGUGAGGAGAGGGCUCUCUAGAGUUCUGAUUUCUCAGACGGUUAACAGUCCAUUUUUUAAAUAGAAGCAAAUUAACCUUUACUACAGGCUGUGAGCUGUAGCGAACAGAUCUGGGUUUUCAACCCGGCCUCAUCACUCCCAGCGCAGACGAGGAUGAGCGUUUAGGGUAGAUCUGGAGGUGCCCCAGGCUCAUGUGAGGCAGGCUUUGUGCUCAGCGCACACAGUGCGUAGUGUGUACCGGGCUUUUGCGAAGUGAGUGGAUCCUGAAGGCUGUGACCUCAUCAGUGGAUCAGUUCAUUCAUGAGCUCAUAAUUUAAUGGGAUAUUGAGUUCUUAACUGAGUGGGAAACGUGUCACUUAGGAAGUGUACUUCAAGUAGGGAAUUGUACUUAGGAACGUGCCUUGGAGGACCAAAUCUUGUUCCUUGGCUCCUUCUGCUGCUUUCUCCCUGGCCCCUGUCCUUUGUGAGGUGAGCUCCUUUGCUCGGCUGCACCCUCCCCACCAUGGUGUUCUGCCCUAUCACAGGCCAAAAACAACGAAGCCAGGUGACCAUGGAAUGAAGCCCGGAGCCAAAGAAACCCAUCCUCCGCAAGGUUGGUAUUCUUGGGGAUUUUGUGACAAUGAUGGAAAGCUGACUAACCAGAAAGUUACUCCAUUUUUCUGUAUUUCUGAUUUUUGUUUUUCAUCUGAGAAUGGAAAUGUUGAUGGUUCCUCCCUCAAAGUGUUAACCACGAAGAACAGAUGAAACGAACUUUAAAAAAAUGCAGAAGAGCUCUCCUCUUGUGAAACAGUUUCCUCCAACUUUGAAACAUUCCAUGGUGGAGGGGGACUCUUUAAACAGGAAGGUAAACAACUCAAGAAGCUCCAGGAAGUCCCUGAAACCAACAGGAUUCUUCAGGCCCCCUCCUUGCCAGGGUAAGAAGAGCCAUUCUGCAAAGAGGAUUCUCACAUUAGCAAAGGGGCAGAGAAGAUUUUGAGACCAGACCAGCUGCCUGGAAGAGGUUUGGAUCAGCUGAGGCAUCUGGAGAGGACACUCUCCAACCUGUUGAGCUGCCUGCAGGCUGUACAGUGUGUUCCAGGUUCCGAGCUUUGUGAGCUGUCACCCAUGCCGGGUUGGGCUUAUAACUGUCUUUCAGUUACUUCUGCUCCUUACUAAAAGUAAGUAAUCCCUCACGUAUGUUCCUUUAAGUAAGACCAAUAAAACUCAUUGGUUCACCAAGUUGGACCUGGUGGUAUCUGUCCUUUGGUCUGUGGUGAACUCCCUCUCUGGAGUGAGUCGAUGUGUGUGUGGGUCUCCCUAGUAAAAGUAUUGUUACACAGCAACCCUCACCCCCACCACAGCAUAUAUACAUGUGGGCAAUGCAUAAGGCCUUAUUUUUGUCUGGGGCCCCUUUAACUCUUCACUGACUGGCCAGGUCAGACACAAGGUGAUCAGUCCUUUCCUAACACAUUCUGUAGCUCAGGGUUUUGCAGUCAGUUUUUAAGCAUCUCUGCUUCUGCAAGACUCCCCUUUUAUUUCCCUCCACACCCUUCUCUUUCUCUUUUUCCUUGUUACAUUUUAUGUACUGCUUAACUUUUCUUGUUGCUAUAACCAAGUACUUGACAGGAUGCAACUUAGGGAGAAGGGGUUUAUUUUGACUACACACACACACACACACACACACACACACACACACACACACAAACACACACACACACACGCACACCGCACACACACACUCAGACACUCACAUCCAAUCACACAUACUCUCUCUCACACACACUCACACAUACAUUUAACUUUGAAAGUUAAAGCUCAGUAGUUAAGGAGAGAUUGAAGGUAGACCCACCGUACAGGCAGGGCUAGGGAGAAGUUCACAAACGCGUACCAUGGUUGGGUAUAAUUGCUAGGUGAUGCUACAAUUUUACUGAGUUUCCUAGCAGCCAAAGAAAAGAUGGAAACAAAUAAUUAAGAGUAGUGAGGCCCCUGAGAUGAAGGACACACAUGAAAACUGUAAUUCUUUUCCUGAACAUUUUUGUGGAUUUUCUUAAAGAGAACCAAGUGGCAAGGAUUGUCUAGCAUAAUAAUGCAUAUACUUUCAUAACAGACGUGACAGUCAGCUUCCGGGAGCUGUUCUUAGGAUGUCCUCAUAUAGGCUGGUGAUAUGCAGCUGAUGUGAAGUCUUGGUAAAGCAUCUUCAUGUGAAGCUAAAAUAACAUGAUAUAUAUAUAUAUUCCUCCAAGGUCCUGUAUUCUGCAUAGAGUUUAGAGCUCUGCACACACAGGAAAAGACAGACUCAUGUCCUGCAGGCGGUGUGAUACUCUACAGAUCUCACCUCUGACAGUCUCUUUGGAGAAUAAAGUACAGUCCCUGAGAGUAGUGACUCUCUGCCACUGGUGAAGGGUACAGCUGGGCGGUGGUGGCACAUGCCUUUAAUCCCAGCACUUGGGAAGCAAAGGCAGGUAGAUCUCUGUGAGUUCAAAGCCAGCCUGAUCUACAGAGUGAGUUCCAGGACAGGCUCCAAAACUGUACAGAGAAACCCUGUCUCGAACCGCCCCCCCCCCCAAAAAAAAAAAAGAAAGAAAAGAAAGUCAGGUACAAGGAGAACGACAGUCAGUCCUUUUAACUAAAAUUAUCCUUCAAGUAAACACGCUUGGCUGAACAAAGCCACCCCAUUUCUGCAUGUAGGGUGUUGCAGGGAGAUUUGUUUGUAUCAUCGCUCUAAGACAGCCAUAGGAAUUAAACCUUGAUUCAGAGGGUGGAGUCCACAUUCAGCAGGCUGGAAUAAACCAUAGAGUUUUCUGGCCGACUCAGAUGAAGAUAGAGAGACACAGAGAGGAAGGAGGGGCUUGGAAAGAUUCUCAGACCUUUUCAAUCUGAGAAGGUGGAGAGGAGGGCUACUGAUAUUUUCUCCAUUGCUUUGUGGAUCUAUCAGGUUUAAACCCUAAUAUCUGGCUCCUGAGCUUUAUUUAUUAAUAAAACUAGGAAACUGCUAUAGUGGUGGGGGGGGCUGAGAGACUGUCUAUAGCAACAGGCAAAAUAAUUGACAACUCUGAUACUAGAUAAUUCUUUGACGUUUAUUAUUGAUUUUAAAAAUUGGCUUCCCUCUUGGGGGCAAUAAAAGAGCACCAACACUUGCCUCAGACAGAAAACACACCAAAAUGUUGGCAGGAGAAAGCUGUGAGAGGUGGGAUUUGGAGUGAUGUUUCUUUCUUGUGUUUACAGUGUUCUUUGUGGCGAACAGAUGUCACUUUGGUGGUAAGAAAAAAGUAAAACAAUGAAAGUGAUUUUUAGGGGCCAAAAACUACAGGGAGCUCCUUCCACAGAUAAGAAUGGGUGACCACACCUGGUUGGCCGCAUUUUAGACCAUUUAAGGGAACUUCACAUUUAAGGGUGCUCUGGCUCCAUCCCCAGUUAAAUAACUGUCAGACAUUCUGAGACAAGGGUGCCGAUAUUGGCACUUAAAAUAAUCUCCCAUGUGGUUAUAAUGUGCAGCUGGCUGGAAACCACCAUAGAACACAGCUGGGAUCAUUUGACCAUGGACAGUGCUCUUCUAAGCAAGCACUCUUUUUAGUGGCUUUUGUAUCUCUUUGUGAUCUGGUCUUUGCUUCAUUGUUCAACAUGGCUUCAUUCAAUGGCUUUCAGAAGAGUGCCCAAAUAUGGUAUGUUGUAGACUGAAAGCAAAGCAGUACUGAAUGAAUCUCUAUACCAUUGUUUUCUGACUGGGGUCACAUGGGGGGAAAAGGGCAUCCAUGUUUAUGCCACAGUUUUAUGCUUUUUUGUUUUGUUUUUUUAUGAUGUGGUAUGGACAACUGUGCUGACAUGGAUUGAGUUGGACAUUUCAAUGGACACACUGCUUGUAGCUAAGAAUGAGCAGGCACAGAAUGAGGGAGAGCAAAGGCCACCUGGCCAGGGUUCAGCCUCUUUCACUGUUUGUCCAGGUAUGUGCAUGUGAGUGCAGGUUCCUGAGGAUUCCAGCAGAGGGCGUCGGGUCCCUUGGUGCUGAAGUUACAGGUGAUUGUGAGCUGCCUGAUGUGGGUGCUGGAAACCAAGCUCAGGUCGUUCCCCAGAGCAAUGAAUGCUCUUCAUCGCUGGGCAUCUCUCCAGCCCCACCCACCUGGGACUGUAGAAGCAACUCAGCCUUCCUGGGAAGGUGGCCUGAGAUAUCAGGAAGAGGACAAUCUGGGUUCAGAGUCAGUCUGAACAAAGACUGAGCUAGGGAACCUAUGACUCUCAUUGGGAUUUGGUUUCUUUACCUGUGGAAUCGGAUGCCAGUGCUGUGUAGACAGAAACGUUGAAAGGAUCGGCAUUUUUGAAAUGCUGAAUGCUGUUUCCUUUAGCCCUAGGAACAACUGUUGUCUGUGACUUUUUAACUGGACUUUAAAGAAUGUUGGUAUGAUAAUCGCAGGAAAGACCCUCUGCCACUGGAACUGUGUGUUGCUGCACACUCCUGCAGUUUCACUCUGAUUUUAUAUCUACGGAGGCCACCAAGGAACACAUGGAGACUCAUAAAACUUUGCCCACACUUUCAUUAGCCACGUUGGAAGUGAGAAGUAGAAAUACAGGAGUGAAGAAGAAUAUAGUCUGUGAAAGUCAGUCUUGAGUUUUUCAUGCUGUGGGUCCUGCGAACUUAUAAACAAUGUGUGUGUGUGUGUGUGUGUGUGUGUGUGAGAGAGAGAGAGAGAGAGAGAGAGAGAGAGAGAGAGAGAGAGAGAGAGAGGGAUUGUGUUCUCGGUGUGUGUGUGUGUGUGUGUGUAGGAGAGAGAUUGUGUGUUCUCGGUGUGUGUGUGUGUGUGUGUGUGUG